rnacentral:lncRNA from 1 species
UAGCGCGGGGUUACUGGAAUGGGACUCCCUGAGGAAGUCCCCUGAGAAGUCGCCGGCACGCUCCGCCUUCCUUCUUGCUUCCCAUUUCUCGUUUUCUUCUCAGCCUUCAUAGUUUUUUAAAGUGCUGUAUUUGAAUAUUAUUUUAAACAUCAUCUAGGUCAGAUUAGCGGCCUGUGACCAACUUGGAAACAAAUUCCUCAUUCUUUUCUGCCCUGGUGUCAGCUCCUGUAAGCCUGCAGAUUUUAUGCCAAAUAAACCGCUGGAGCAAAAGGAAAGGCAGCCAGCCUCUCCCGGAAUUUGGGAGAGGGAUACCUUGUUAAGAAAACGUUCUACAACUUACGAAUUAGAUUUAACUGUAAAAAAUAGCACGUCCUCUUUUACCAAACAAACGUACUAGUUAGGGAAAUCAUCUUGCUUCAGAUUUAAGAUAGUUCUUUUUUAGUGCUUGUAAUAUCCUGCUAUAUAAUCUUCAUAAGAAACGUGAAGGGUUAGGAAAGGUUUAGCCGUGCUGUCCAGUAUUGGGAUUUAAAUUUUAAAUAUUAACUUAAUUCCUCAGUGGCACCAGCCACAUUUCAGGUGUGCCAUAACCAUGUAUGGCUAGUGGCUGCUAUGUGGCAAAGUACAUAUGUAGAACGUUUCUAUCAUCGAAGACAGUUCUUUUGGACAGAGCCGGCCGAGAGGAUUACAAUACUUGGGGCAGAAAAGUGUCCUUAAUCACAUAAAAUAAUGAAAACCCUAGCCAGAAAAAAAAAAAAAAAAGUUGGCUACGGAAGCUAGAAGAAAUCGUAUUAACAAAAAAGCAGUCAGCAAGCUUUCUACUUACAUAGUAUGAUUUAGAGAUACAGGAAAGCUUCCCCCGAAAGACCCCACAAUGUCUAAUGGUCCUUGGUUCUGAAAUUCUGUCAUUGAAUCUGAUUAUUUUGAUUAAAGGCAUGGUAUCUCCCAGAAUAUCCUGUGAAUGUUCGCAUUAGUCUGCUCAUCAGAUUGCUUUCCAACCAAAAAAUACUGUGUUCUACAAAGGAGGAGCAUCUUUAUCUCAAAG